rnacentral:rRNA from 1 species
GCCAGUCAGCCGCCGCGGUAAUACGGAGGGGGCAAGCGUUGUUCGGAAUUAUUGGGCGUAAAGCGUAUGUAGGCGGCUAAGUAAGUCAGGCGUGCAAGCCCGUGGCUCAACCACGGAAUUGCGUUUGAAACUACUUAGCUUGAGUACAGGAGAGGAAAGCGGAAUUCCCAGUGUAGCGGUGAAAUGCAUUGAUAUUGGGAAGAACAUCUGUGGCGAAGGCGGCUUUCUGGUCUGUUACUGACGCUAAGAUACGAAAGCCAGGGUAGCGAACGGGAUUAGAUACCCCGGUAGUCCUGGCUGUAAACGAUGGGCACUAGGUGCAGGAGGUAUCGAUCCCCUCUGUGCCGUAGCUAACGCGUUAAGUGCCCCGCCUGGGGAGUACGGUCGCAAGGCUGAAACUCAAAGGAAUUGGCGGGGGAGCACGGUCAUACUUGUUUUCCUGA